rnacentral:rRNA from 1 species
UACGUAGGGUGCAAGCGUUGUCCGGAAUUAUUGGGCGUAAAGAGCUCGUAGGCGGUUUGUCGCGUCUGCUGUGAAAACUCGGGGCUCAACCCCGAGCUUGCAGUGGGUACGGGCAGACUAGAGUGCGGUAGGGGAGACUGGAAUUCCUGGUGUAGCGGUGGAAUGCGCAGAUAUCGGGAGGAACACCAGUGGCGAAAGCGGCUCUCUGGGGGCGAUCUGACGCUGAGGCGCGAAAGCGUGGGGAGCAAACCGG